CAAUAGCGUAUAUUAAAGCUGUUGCGGUUAAAAAGCUCGUAGUUGGAUUUCUGUCAAGGACAACUGGUCCGCCCUCCGGGUGAGCACAUAGUUUGGUCUUGGCAUCUUGCUGGAAACUGUUGCUGCACUUGGCUGUGUGGCGCAGCGUCCAGCACUUUCACUUUGAGGAAAUUGGAGUGUUUCAAGCAGGCACAUGCCUUUGGACACAGUAGCAUGGAAUAAUUAGAUUGGGCUUUUGCUCCAAUUUGUCGGUUUCUGGAGCUGAGGUGAGAAUUAAUGGGGAUUGUUGGGGGCAUCCGAAUUUAGCCGUCAGAGGUGAAAUUCUUGGAUCUGCUAAAGACGGACAACUGCGAAAGCAUUUGCCAAGGAUGUUUUCAUUGA
rnacentral:rRNA from 1 species